rnacentral:rRNA from 1 species
UAAGCGGAGGAAAAGAAACUAACAAGGAUUCCCCUAGUAACUGCGAGUGAAGCGGGAAAAGCUCAAAUUUAAAAUCUGGCAGUCUUUGAUUGUCCGAGUUGUAAACUAGAGAAGUGUUAUCCGNGCUGGACCGUGUAAAAGUCUCCUGGAAUGGAGCAUCAUAGAGGGUGAGAAUCCCGUCUUUGACAUGGACUACCAGUGCUUUGUGAUGCGCUCUCAAAGAGUCGAGUUGUUUGGGAAUGCAGCUCAAAAUGGGUGGUAAAUUCCAUCUAAAGCUAAAUAUUGGCGAGAGACCGAUAGCGAACAAGUACCGUGAGGGAAAGAUGAAAAGAACUUUGGAAAGAGAGUUAAACAGUACGUGAAAUUGCUGAAAGGGAAACGCUUGAAGUCAGUCGCGUCGGCCAGGAAUCAACCUUGCUUUUGCUGGGCGUACUUUCUGGUUGACGGGUCAGCAUCAAUUUUGACUGCUGGAAAAAGUUCAAGGGAAUGUGGCAUCUUCGGAUGUGUUAUAGCCCUUGUUCGCAUACAGCAGUUGGGAUUGAGGUACUCAGCACGCCGCAAGGCCGGGUUUCGACCACGUUCGUGCUUAGGAUGCUGGCAUAAUGGCUUUAAUCGACCCGUCUUGAAACACGGACCAAGGAGUCUAACAUGCCUGCGAGUGUUUGGGUGGAAAACCCAAGCGCGCAAUGAAAGUAAAAGUUGAGAUCCCUGUCAUGGGGAGCAUCGACGCCCGGACCAGAGCUUUUGUGACGGAUCUGCGGUAGAGCAUGUAUGUUGGGACCCGAAAGAUGGUGAACUAUGCCUGAAUAGGGUGAAGCCAGAGGAAACUCUGGUGGAGGCUCGUAGCGAUUCUGACGUGCAAAUCGAUCGUCAAAUUUGGGUAUAGGGGCGAAAGACUAAUCGAANCAUCUAGUAGCUGG